AGAGUUUCGAUCCUGGCUCAGGAUGAACGCUAGCGGCAGGCUUAACACAUGCAAGUCGAGGGGCGAUCGGGAGGGAAGCUUGCUUCCUUGCCGGCGACCGGCGCACGGGUGAGUAACACGUAUGCAGCCUGCCCUCUUCAGGGGGACAACCUUCCGAAAGGGAGGCUAAUCCCGCGUAUAUCGGUUUCGGGCAUCCGAGAUCGAGGAAAGAUUCAUCGGAAGAGGAUGGGCAUGCGGCGCAUUAGCUUGACGGCGGGGUAACGGCCACCGUGGCGACGAUGCGUAGGGGUUCUGAGAGGAAGGUCCCCCACACUGGUACUGAGACACGGACCAGACUCCUACGGGAGGCAGCAGUGAGGAAUAUUGGUCAAUGGGAGAGAUCCUGAACCAGCCAAGCCGCGUGAGGGAAGACGGCUCUAUGGGUUGUAAACCUCUUUUGUCGGAGAACAAAACCCGGGACGUGUCCCGGACUGCGUGUAUCCGAAGAAAAAGCAUCGGCUAACUCCGUG
rnacentral:rRNA from 1 species